rnacentral:lncRNA from 1 species
GGCGGGCGGCCUCCGUGUGCCAAAAAUAGGCCACGGGCACAGCCGCGCCCAAAAAUCAGCCCCCGAAGGUCGGGGUCACAAGACCCCCCAGCGGAAAAAUGGCCAAGAAACGCGUGGGCUAUAGCCUUGGUGGGGGGCGUGGGCGAAGUUCGUCCGCGGGACUCGGAAUGGCCCCAGACUUGGCGGGCGGCCUCCGUGUGCCAAAAAUAGGCCACGGGCACAGCCGCGCCCAAAAAUCAGCCCCCGAAGGUCGGGGUCACAAGACCCCCCAGCGGAAAAAAGGCCAAGAAACGCGUGGGCUAUAGCCUUGGUGGGGGGCGUGGGCGAAGUUCGUCCGCGGGACUCGGAAUGGCACCAUACUUGGCGGGCGGCCUCCGUGUGCCAAAAAUAGGCCACGGGCACAGCCGCGCCCAAAAAUCAGCCCCCGAAGGUCGGGGUCCCAAGACCCCCCAGCGGAAAAAUGGCCAAAAAACGGGUGGGCUAUAGCCUUGGUGGGGGGCGUGGGCGUCCGCGGGACUCGGAAUGGCACCAUACUUGGCGGGCGGCCUCCGUGUGCCAAAAAUAGGCCACGGGCACAGCCGCGCCCAAAAAUCAGCCCCCGAAGGUCGGGGUCCCAAGACCCCCCAGCGGAAAAAUGGCCAAGAAACGCGUGGGCUAUAGCCUUGGUGGGGGGCGUGGGCGAAGUUCGUCCGCGGGACUCGGAAUGGCCCCAGACUUGGCGGGCGGCCUCCGUGUGCCAAAAAUAGGCCACGGGCACAGCCGCGCCCAAAAAUCAGCCCCCGAAGGUCGGGGUCACAAGACCCCCCAGCGGAAAAAAGGCCAAGAAACGCGUGGGCUAUAGCCUUGGUGGGGGGCGUGGGUGAAGUUCGUCCGCGGGACUCGGAAUGGCACCAUACUUGGCGGGCGGCCUCCGUGUGCCAAAAAUAGGCCACGGGCACAGCCGCGCCCAAAAAUCAGCCCCCGAAGGUCGGGGUCCCAAGACCCCCCAGCGGAAAAAUGGCCAAAAAACGGGUGGGCUAUAGCCUUGGUGGGGGGCGUGGGCGAAGUUCGUCCGCGGGACUCGGAAUGGCCCCAGACUUGGCGGGCGGCCUCCGUGUGCCAAAAAUAGGCCACGGGCACAGCCGCGGCCAAAAAUCAGCCCCCGAAGGUCGGGGUCCCAAGACCCCCCAGCGGAAAAAUGGCCAAGAAACGCGUGGGCUAUAGCCUUGGUGGGGGGCGUGGGCGAAGUUCGUCCGCGGGACUCGGAAUGGCCCCAGACUUGGCGGGCGGCCUCCGUGUGCCAAAAAUAGGCCACGGGCACAGCCGCGCCCAAAAAUCAGCCCCCGAAGGUCGGGGUCCCAAGACCCCCCAGCGGAAAAAUGGCCAAGAAACGGGUGGGCUAUAGCCUUGGUGGGGGGCGUGGGCGAAGUUCGUCCGCGGGACUCGGAAUGGCCCCAGACUUGGCGGGCGGCCUCCGUGUGCCAAAAAUAGGCCACGGGCACAGCCGCGCCCAAAAAUCAGCCCCCGAAGGUCGGGGUCACAAGACCCCCCAGCGGAAAAAAGGCUAAGAAACGCGUGGGCUAUAGCCUUGGUGGGGGGCGUGGGCGAAGUUCGUCCGCGGGACUCGGAAUGGCACCAUACUUGGCGGGCGGCCUCCGUGUGCCAAAAAUAGGCCACGGGCACAGCCGCGCCCAAAAAUCAGCCCCCGAAGGUCGGGGUCCCAAGACCCCCCAGCGGAAAAAUGGCCAAAAAACGGGUGGGCUAUAGCCUUGGUGGGGGGCGUGGGCGAAGUUCGUCCGCGUGACUCGGAAUGGCCCCAGACUUGGCGGGCGGCCUCCGUGUGCCAAAAAUAGGCCACGGGCACAGCCGCGCCCAAAAAUCAGCCCCCGAAGGUCGGGGUCCCAAGACCCCCCAGCGGAAAAAUGGCCAAGAAACGCGUGGGCUAUAGCCUUGGUGGGGGGCGUGGGCGAAGUUCGUCCGCGGGACUCGGAAUGGCCCCAGACUUGGCGGGCGGCCUCCGUGUGCCAAAAAUAGGCCACGGGCACAGCCGCGCCCAAAAAUCAGCCCCCGAAGGUCGGGGUCACAAGACCCCCCAGCGGAAAAAAGGCCAAGAAACGCGUGGGCUAUAGCCUUGGUGGGGGGCGUGGGUGAAGUUCGUCCGCGGGACUCGGAAUGGCACCAUACUUGGCGGGCGGCCUCCGUGUGCCAAAAAUAGGCCACGGGCACAGCCGCGCCCAAAAAUCAGCCCCCGAAGGUCGGGGUCCCAAGCCCCCCCAGCGGAAAAAUGGCCAAGAAACGCGUGGGCUAUAGCCUUGGUGGGGGGCGUGGGCGAAGUUCGUCCGCGGGACUCGGAAUGGCCCCAGACUUGGCGGGCGGCCUCCGUGUGCCAAAAAUAGGCCACGGGCACAGCCGGGCCCAAAAAUCAGCCCCCGAAGGUCGGGGUCACAAGGACCCCCCAGCGGAAAAAAGGCCAAGAAACGGGUGGGCUAUAGCCUUGGUGGGGGGCGUGGGCGAAGUUCGUCCGCGGGACUCGGAAUGGCACCAUACUUGGCGGGCGGCCUCCGUGUGCCAAAAAUAGGCCACGGGCACAGCCGCGCCCAAAAAUCAGCCCCCGAAGUUCGGGGUCCCAAGACCCCCCAGCGGAAAAAUGGCCAAAAAACGGGUGGGCUAUAGCCUUGGUGGGGGGCGUGGGCGAAGUUCGUCCGCGGGACUCGAAAUGGCCCCAGACUUGGCGGGCGGCCUCCGUGUGCCAAAAAUAGGCCACGGGCACAGCCGCGCCCAAAAAUCAGCCCCCGAAGGUCGGGGUCCCAAGACCCCCCAGCGGAAAAAUGGCCAAGAAACGCGUGGGCUAUAGCCUUGGUGGGGGGCGUGGGCGAAGUUCGUCCGCGGGACUCGGAAUAGCCCCAGACUUGGCGGGCGGCCUCCGUGUGCCAAAAAUUGGCCACGGGCACAGCCGCGCCCAAAAAUCAGCCCCCGAAGGUCGGGGUCCCAAGACCCCCCAGCGGAAAAAUGGCCAAGAAACGGGUGGGCUAUAGCCUUGGUGGGGGGCGUGGGCGAAGUUCGUCCGCGGGACUCGGAAUGGCCCCAGACUUGGCGGGCGGCCUCCGUGUGCCAAAAAUAGGCCACGGGCACAGCCGCACCCAAAAAUCAGCCCCCGAAGGUCGGGGUCCCAAGACCCCCCAGCGGAAAAAUGGCCAAGAAACGCAUGGGCUAUAGCCUUGGUGGGGGGCGUGGGCGAAGUUCGUCCGCGGGACUCGGAAUGGCCCCAGACUUGGCGGGCGGCCUCCGUGUGCCAAAAAUAGGCCACGGGCACAGCCGCGCCCAAAAAUCAGCCCCCGAAGGUCGGGGUCCCAAGACCCCCCAGCGGAAAAAUGGCCAAGAAACGCGUGGGCUAUAGCCUUGGUGGGGGGCGUGGGCGAAGUUCGUCCGCGGGACUCGGAAUGGCCCCAGACUUGGCGGGCGGCCUCCGUGUGCCAAAAAUAGGCCACGGGCACAGCCGCGCCCAAAAAUCAGCCCCCGAAGGUCGGGGUCCCAAGACCCCCCUGCGGAAAAAUGGCCAAGAAACGCGUGGGCUAUAGCCUUGGUGGGGGGCGUGGGCGAAGUUCGUCCGCGGGACUCGGAAUGGCCCCAGACUUGGCGGGC